rnacentral:rRNA from 1 species
UACGAAGGGAGCUAGCGUUGUUCGGAAUCACUGGGCGUAAAGCGCACGUAGGCGGAUUUGUCAGUCAGGGGUGAAAUCCCGGGGCUCAACCUCGGAACUGCCUUUGAUACAGCAAGUCUUGAGUUCGAGAGAGGUGGGUGGAAUUCCGUAGUGUAGAGGUGAAAUUCGUAGAUAUUAGGAAGAACACCGGUGGCGAAGGCGGCCCACUGGCUCGAUACUGACGCUGAGGUGCGAAAGCGUGGGGAGCAAACAGGG